rnacentral:rRNA from 1 species
UACAGAGGGUGCUAGCGUUGUUCGGAAUUAUUGGGCGUAAAGGGCUCGUAGGUGGCCAACUAAGUCAGACGUGAAAUCCCUCGGCUUAACCGGGGAACUGCGUCUGAUACUGGAUGGCUUGAGUUUGGGAGAGGGACGCGGAAUUCCAGGUGUAGCGGUGAAAUGCGCAGAGAUCGGGAGGAACACCCGUAGCGAAGGCGGCACUCUGGGCCGGUACUGACGCUGAGGAGCGAAAGCGUGGGGAGCAAACAGG